AGUGAACGCUGGCGGUAGGCCUAACACAUGCAAGUCGAACGGCAGCACAGUAAGAGCUUGCUCUUACGGGUGGCGAGUGGCGGACGGGUGAGGAAUACAUCGGAAUCUACUUUUUCGUGGGGGAUAACGUAGGGAAACUUACGCUAAUACCGCAUACGACCUACGGGUGAAAGCAGGGGAUCUUCGCACCUUGCGCGAUUGAAUGAGCCGAUGUCGGAUUAGCUAGUUGGCGGGGUAAAGGCCCACCAAGGCGACGAUCCGUAGCUGGUCUGAGAGGAUGAUCAGCCACACUGGAACUGAGACACGGUCCAGACUCCUACGGGAGGCAGCAGUGGGGAAUAUUGGACAAUGGGCGCAAGCCUGAUCCAGCCAUACCGCGUGGGUGAAGAAGGCCUUCGGGUUGUAAAGCCCUUUUGUUGGGAAAGAAAAGCAGCAGGUUAAUACCCCGCUGUUCUGACGGUACCCAAAGAAUAAGCGCCGGCUAACUUCGUG
rnacentral:rRNA from 1 species